CGUAGGGUGCAGGCGUUAGUCGGAAUUACUGGGCGUAAAGCGUGCGCAGGCGGUCUUUUAAGUCAGAUGUGAAAUCCCCGGGCUUAACCUGGGAACUGCGUUUGAAACUGGAAGGCUUGAGUGUGGCAGAGGGGGGUGGAAUUCCACGUGUAGCAGUGAAAUGCGUAGAGAUGUGGAGGAACACCGAUGGCGAAGGCAGCCCCCUGGGCUAACACUGACGCUCAUGCACGAAAGCGUGGGGAGCAAACAGGAUUAGAUACCCUGGUAGUCCACGCCCUAAACUAUGUCAACUGGUUGUCGGGGAAGCAAUUCCUUGGUAACGAAGCUAACGCGUGAAGUUGACCGCCUGGGGAGUACGGCCGCAAGGUUA
rnacentral:rRNA from 1 species